AGCAGCCGCGGUAAUUCCAGCUCCAAUAGCGUAUAUUAAAGUUGCUGCAGUUAAAGAGCUCGUAGUUGAAUUUCGGGAUCAAUAUGUUGGUCGUGCCUUGGUACGUACUAGCUCAUUGGUUUCUCCCUUCUGACGAACCACGAUGUCAUUAAUUUGAUGUCAUGGGGAAUCAGGACUGUUACUUUGAAAAAUUAGAGUGUUUAAAGCAGGCUCGCGCUUGAAUACAUUAGCAUGGAAUAAUGAAAUAGGACAUUUGAUUCUAUUUUGUUGGUUUCUAGGAUCGAUGUAAUGAUUAAUAGGGAUAGUUGGGGGCAUUAGUAUUCAAUUGUCAGAGGUGAAAUUCUUGGAUUUAUUGAAGACUAACUACUGCGAAAGCAAUUUGCCAAGGAUGUUCUCAUU
rnacentral:misc_RNA from 1 species